rnacentral:misc_RNA from 1 species
UUUCCGUAGGUGAACCUGCGGAAGGAUCAUUCAUAAUAAAGUGUUUUAUGGCACUUUUUAAAAAUCCAUAUCCACCUUGCGUGCAAUGUUAGGUCUCGUCAAUCUUGGCGAGAUUUUUAUACAUCAACUCAUUUUUUAACUAAUUUGUAUGAAAAAUAUUAUGAAUACUUAAUUCAAAAUACAACUUUCAACAACGGAUCUCUUGGCUCUC